GUGUGUGUUUGUGUGUUGUGUGCUCUGUCUUGGAGCACACGGAGUCCCAGAGCGGAUUGAGUAGAAAAGGGCCUUAAAGGCCGCCCGGUUCCGACCCGCGAGCAAGCGCGUGUUAAAAUUUAGAACCACAAACGUGCAGAGCCUGCCAUUUAUCCCUCGGCGGUGGUUAACUGAGCUCCGCACGGCGGUUGAAACGCGCUGGCGAAUCGCGAUAGUGAAACAGCGAGUGGAGCGUGGUAUCAAAGAAUAAGGCGGCAGUUCCCUCUGCAAUGCUUUCCACACUACUGUUAAUUCACUGGAAGGGAGCGAAUAUGGAGCAGGGAGAUAGGUUUGUCUUUCCCUCCCACAUAUACAGAGCUCCUGCAUAACC